rnacentral:ncRNA from 1 species
AUCGUUUGAACCGAGCCUUUGCCGAAAGAUUUUUCACCAAGCAAAAUCGCACGAUGAUGGUCUUGCAAUGCUCCGGCAACAAUCUCAGACGCAGAAGCCGACCCCUCGUUAAUCAGCACGACUAUCGGUAACCCUUUUGCAAUAUCUCCCUCGUUGGCCGAAUAUUUUAUGGUAUCUUUUUCAUCGCGCGAACGGGUGGAAACAAUCUCGCCUCUGUCCAAAAACAAAUCAGACAAAGCAAUCGCCUGAUCAAGUAGGCCUCCCGGGUUGUUGCG